UCUGGCAGUGCUGACUGCUCGUUCGUGUGUCCUUGCUGUGUGAAGAUGUUUGCGUUUGUGCAACAUAAAUUCGAUGGCAAGACGGCUGUCGUGAAGCUCUCCGCUAUAAAGGAUUUCACUCCUAAAAACGUUACCGAUUUUGAGUCUACUGGCCGGGGACGAAGACACCAUCGGCGAUUUUUAUGAAGCGCGGAUCCUCCAUCUCGCUGAAUCUGAGAAAGAGAUGGAGGCAUAGAAGGAAAAGCGUCCCAGGAAGGUUUUGGUGGACUUGCCGUGAGGAAAGAAAAUGAGCGAGGAAAAGAAAGCCGAGUUGUCUAUGCCACAUCGUUUGAUUUGUCAGUGCGAGCGCAACAGUACCCUGUGACACCUUCGAAUAUUAUAGGCAAGUUCUACCUUCUGCUGUGUGAUCUAGUUUGAUGUUUAUUACUAGCACUAUCUUGUUUUGUGCAGUUUGUGCAGUAAGGUGUUUCGAAAUAGAACAAAGGGUGACUAAAAAAACCAUCUUUUCUGUAUUUGAUGUACAGUAAGGACUGUUAUUUGUUAUCAUAUUGGACUGACAUUCCAACAGGAGUGCUUGUAUAGCAUGCAAUGAUUGCCUUUUAGAAGCAUCAGUCAUCCUUAUUUUAUACCCGGUACAUAUGUACUGUUAAAGGAGCCCCGAAAAACUUUUUAUCGAAAUCGGGAAAUGCACUUGAAGUCACAAUAGACUAUAUCAUAAAUACUUUGAAGCAAAAAGUGCUUCAAUGCGUUCAGCAGAAGCGAUGGUAUCAGCAGCCAAAAAUCGCCUUUGAUCCCCUUCGUGGUGCUCAGGCUCCUUCAAUGCCGUGCACUGUAAAGGUUAUGCCAAGCACGCUUGUCCUCGGUGAGGCGCAGUGAGCUGAGUGAGUGGGCUCAUUGCGGCACCCAAAGGCAGCUGUGGUAUUUUUUAUGUGUA